GACGAACGCUGGCGGCGUGCCUAAUACAUGCAAGUCGAGCGGAAGUUGGAGAGCUUGCUCUUCAACUUUAGCGGCGGACGGGUGAGUAACACGUGGGCAACCUGCCCUGCAGAUCGGGAUAACUCCGGGAAACCGGUGCUAAUACCGAAUAGUUUUCGCCACCCCCUGGUGGCGUACGGAAAGACGGUUUCGGCUGUCCCUGCAGGAUGGGCCCCCGGCGCACUAGCUAGUUGGUGGGGUAACGGCCCACCAAGGCGACGAUGCGUAGGCGACCUGAGAGGGUGAUCGGCCACACUGGGACUGAGACACGGACCAGACUCCUACGGGAGGCAGCAGUAGGGAAUCUUCCGCAAUGGACGAAAGUCUGACGGAGCAACGCCGCGUGAGUGACGAAGGUUUUCGGAUCGUAAAACUCUGUUGUGAGGGAAGAACAAGUACCAAUUAACUACUGGUACCUUGACGGUACCUCACCAGAAAGCCACGGCUAACUACGUGCCAGCAGCCGCAGUAACAC
rnacentral:rRNA from 1 species